UACAGGGGGUGCAAACGUUGCUCGGAAUUAUUGGGCGUAAAGCGCACGUAGGCGGUUCGUUAUGUCGGAUGUGAAAGCCCUUGGCUUAACCGAGGAAGUGCACCCGAAACUGGCGAGCUAGAGUACGAAAGAGGAUCGCGGAAUUCCCGGUGUAGAGGUGAAAUUCGUAGAUAUCGGGAGGAACACCGGUGGCGAAGGCGGCGAUCUGGGUCGAUACUGACGCUGAGGUGCGAAAGCGUGGGGAGCAAACAGG
rnacentral:rRNA from 1 species